CUGGGCUACGGGGACAUGUACCCCCAGACGUGGUCGGGCAUGCUGGUGGGCGCCCUGUGCGCCCUGGCGGGCGUGCUGACCAUCGCCAUGCCCGUGCCCGUCAUCGUCAACAAC
rfam:Lepisosteus oculatus linkage group LG27, whole genome shotgun sequence.